rnacentral:misc_RNA from 1 species
GGAUGAUGUUGGUGAUGGGCAUGGUUUGAGGAGCUUCUGGCACUGCCGGUAUCACGGUUUAUGAUGCCCUCGACCUGGCGGAAGUACUCCACGUGACAAGGGAUGGUUAUGGCCCCCUUAUGUUCGAAUCCGUAUUCCUCCUCCGCCUGCUUGAGCAAGCUGAGGAACAGUGGGUGAUUCAAGUACACCACCGGAACCACAAACUUCUGUUGCUCCUCACCAUCACC